rnacentral:rRNA from 1 species
UGGGGAAUUUUGGACAAUGGGGGAAACCCUGAUCCAGCCAUCCCGCGUGUGCGAUGAAGGCCUUCGGGUUGUAAAGCACUUUUGGCAGGAAAGAAACGUCAUGGGUUAAUACCCCGUGAAACUGACGGUACCUGCAGAAUAAGCACCGGCUAACUACGUGCCAGCAGCCGCGGUAAUACGUAGGGUGCAAGCGUUAAUCGGAAUUACUGGGCGUAAAGCGUGCGCAGGCGGUUCGGAAAGAAAGAUGUGAAAUCCCAGAGCUCAACUUUGGAACUGCAUUUUUAACUACCGGGCUAGAGUGUGUCAGAGGGAGGUGGAAUUCCGCGUGUAGCAGUGAAAUGCGUAGAUAUGAGGAGGAACACCGAUGGCGAAGGCAGCCUCCUGGGAUAACACUGACGCUCAUGCACGAAAGCGUGUGGAGCAAACAGG